GGGUGUGACUAGUGACAGAGAGAGGGAGGGGGUGACUAGUGACAGAGAGAGGGAGGUUGUGACUAGUGACAGAGAGAGGGAGGUGGUGACUAGUGACAGAAGGAGGGAUGGGGUGACUAGUGACAGUUACCACCUCCUUCACUCUGUCACUAGUCACCCCCUCCAUCACUCUGUCAUUGUGUCACCCCCUUCCUCACUCUGUCACUAGUCACCCACUCCCUCCCUCACUCUGUCACUAGUCACUCACUCUGUCACUAGUCAUCCCCUUCCUUACUGUCACUAGUGACCCACUCCCUCUGUCAC
rnacentral:sRNA from 1 species